CCGACUAUAGUCAUUUCCAUCGCAACCGGUCAUGCUACGUCCUCGUAAGGAAUCAGCAAAGUCAUUGUUCUACGCAUCCGUUCGUUAAGCACUCCCCUUCAUAACAAAACAAACUCCACCACUCAAUGGAGAAUUCAUUGAGAAAGCACCAAAUUAAACAAAAGUAAAAAACAACAAUUCAACUGAAAUCAGAGAAGUAUGACUUAUCUGUAUCAUUGUAUAUCUCACCCAUCAAGAUCCUCGGAUAACAAACCAAUCUUGACAUUCUCAGUCUUAUAUAACCAGGAAGCCACCUUAAAAAGCUAAACACAAAGCAACAAACUAAUCUUGACAUUCUCAGUCUUAUAUAACCAGGAAGCCACCUUAAAGAGCUAAACACAAAGCUCCGACACUGAUUAUCACCAAUUCAUACCUAGUCCGACGAUCAAGUAAACCAAAGAAAACAUACAAGCCCCAACAUUCAAUCACCAGAAAACAAUCUCCCUAAAGAAAAUCAACUAUUAGAAAGAGCGCAAAGCAAGAAAACAAACAAAAAUCCUAAGGUCAGGCUGGCGGUGAUGAGGGACACAGCGUCGGACCUAUGGGCACAAAACUAAAAAAACCUUCUUCUGUCCAAAAAAGUAGAGAAAGGUUUGAAAGAAAAACCUAGACAGAAACCCACAAAAAUAUAUGAAGAGAAAUAUUCGCCAGAGAAAUCUUUCUCAUCGAAAGUUACUAACAUCGCUUCCUCUUCUUCUGCCCUCGCACUUCUCCUUUCUCUCUUCUUCUUUCUCUUUCUUUUUACCCUCUAUCUCUUUAAUUUUUCGGUGCUUUCUCUCUCUUUCUUGAGAAGUUUUUGGGAGAGUUUUUUUU
rnacentral:lncRNA from 1 species